CAGUCGAACGAAGCACUGAAAGCGGAUCACUUCGGUAAGAAGCUUUCUUUGACUGAGUGGCGGACGGGUGAGUAACGCGUGGGUAACCUGCCUCAUACAGGGGGAUAACAGUUAGAAAUGACUGCUAAUACCGCAUAAGCGCACGGAACCGCAUGGUUUUGUGUGAAAAACUCCGGUGGUAUGAGAUGGACCCGCGUCUGAUUAGCUGGUUGGCGGGGUAACGGCCCACCAAGGCGACGAUCAGUAGCCGGCCUGAGAGGGUGAACGGCCACAUUGGGACUGAGACACGGCCCAAACUCCUACGGGAGGCAGCAGUGGGGAAUAUUGCACAAUGGGGGAAACCCUGAUGCAGCGACGCCGCGUGAAGGAAGAAGUAUCUCGGUAUGUAAACUUCUAUCAGCAGGGAAGAAAAUGACGGUACCUGACCAAGAAGCCCCGGCUAACUACGUGCCAGCAGCCGCGGUAAUACGUAGGGGGCAAGCGUUAUCCGGAUUUACUGGGUGUAAAGGGAGCGUAGGCGGCGACGCAAGUCAGAAGUGAAAGCCCGGGGCUCAACUCCGGGACUGCUUUUGAAACUGCGUUGCUAGAUUGCGGGAGAGGCAAGUGGAAUUCCUAGUGUAGCGGUGAAAUGCGUAGAUAUUAGGAGGAACACCAGUGGCGAAGGCGGCUUGCUGGACCGUGAAUGACGCUGAGGCUCGAAAGCGUGGGGAGCAAACAGGAUUAGAUACCCCGGUAGUCCACGCCGUAAACGAUGAAUACU
rnacentral:rRNA from 1 species